UUGAUCCUGGCUCUCGAUGAACGCUGGCGGCGUGCCUAAUACAUGCAAGUCGAGCGCGGGAAGCAGAUGGAAUCCUUCGGGAGGAAGUCUGUGGAACGAGCGGCGGACGGGUGAGUAACACGUGGGUAACCUGCCUGUAAGACUGGGAUAACUCGCGGAAACGUGAGCUAAUACCGGAUGAAACUUUUCUUCACCUGAUGAGAAGAUGAAAGGCGGCUUCGGCUGCCACUUACAGAUGGACCCGCGGCGCAGUACCUAGUUGGUGAGAUAAUGGCUCACCAGGGCGACGAUGCGUAGCCGACCUGAGAGGGUGAUCGGCCACCCUGGGACUGACACACGGCCCACACUCCUACGGGAGGCAUCACUAGGGAAUCUUCCGCAAUGGACAAAAGUCUGACGGAUCAACGCCGCGUGAGUGAUGAAGGUUUUCGGAUCGUAAAACUCUGUUGUUAGGGAAGAACAAGUACCGUUCGAAUAGGGCGGUACCUUGACGGUACUUAACCAGAAAGCCCCGGCUAACUACGUGCCAUCAGCCGCGGUAAUACGUAGGGGGCAAGCGUUGUCCGGAAUUAUUGGGCGUAMAGCGCUWSCAKGCGGYCUUUUAMGUCUGAUGUGAAASCCCACGGCUCAWSCGUGGAGGGUCAUWGUAWACUGAAGGAGSUUGAGUACAGAAGAGGASAGUKGAAUUYCAYGKGUAGSGGUGAASUGYGUMGAUAUGUGUAGAACGASUUCAGCUGGCGAAGGCGACUSCUCUCUGGUCUGYARCUGACGAUGAGRARCGMUAGCGUGUCGCCGAUGCGARUUCMGGAYUASAUAUCCAUGGYAKUWCACCGCCGUAMACGWGUGAWUGYUAKGUGCUCWWGKGGUWYCCRCCCSUUCAGCUGAUGAAGUSAMCGCAUCUAMGCWCKACCACCUGGGSWKUAMGGCMUCACASUGCUGAARCUGCMARMGARUAGACKGKRCGCCCRCACAAUGCGCUGGAGCAUGCGGUCUAAUUUGAAGCAACGCGAAGAACCUUACCAGGUCUAGACAUCGUCUGCCAGCGGUAGAGAUUCAGUGUUCCCUUCGGGGACAGAGUGACAGGUUGUUCAUGGUCGUCGUCAGCUUGUGUUCUGAGAUCUUUGGUUAAGUACGGUAACGAGCUCAAUCAUAGAUUUUUGCUGCCAGCAUGUUUUCGGGCAGUUUAAUGUGAUAGGCGUUGGCAAACCGUAUGAAUGUGGGGAUGACGUCUAAUCAUCUUGCCCCGUAUGAGCUUGGUUACACACGUGAUACAAUGUAUGGAACAAAGGGAAGUGAACCGGGGAGGUCAAGCCAAUCCCCUAAAGCCAUUGUCAGUUAUGAUUUCAGGAUGCAAUUAGCAUGCUCGUAGCCGGAAUCGUUAGUAAUCGGGGAUC
rnacentral:rRNA from 1 species